rnacentral:rRNA from 1 species
GACGAACGCUGGCGGCGUGCUUAACACAUGCAAGUCGAACGGAAAGGCCCUGCUUUUGUGGGGUGCUCGAGUGGCGAACGGGUGAGUAACACGUGUGUAACCUGCCCUUGACUUUGGGAUAACUUUAGGAAACUGGGGCUAAUACCGGAUAGGAGCUCCUGCUGCAUGGUGUGGGUUGGAAAGUUUCGGCGGUUGGGGAUGGACUCGCGGCUUAUCAGCUUGUUUGUGGGGUAGUGGCUUACCAAGGCUUUGACGGGUAGCCCGCCUGAGAGGGUGACCGGCCACAUUGGGACUGAGAUACGGCCCAGACUCCUACGGGACGCAGCAGUGGGGAGUCUUGCAGAAUGGGCGGAAGCCUGAUGAAGCAAUGCCGCGUGCGGGAUGACCGCCUUCGGGUUGUAAACCGCUUUCGCAUGUGCCGAAGCGUGAGUGACGGUAAUGAGUAAAGAAGCACCGGCUAACUACGUG